ACGGAGGAUGCAAGCGUUAUCCGGAUUCAUUGGGUUUAAAGGGUGCGCAGGCGGAAUGAUAAGUCAGUGGUGAAAUCCUACGGCUCAACUGUAGAACUGCCAUUGAUACUGUUGUUCUUGAGUACACUUGGAGUGGGCGGAAUGUGUCAUGUAGCGGUGAAAUGCUUAGAUAUGACGCGGAACACCGAUCGCGAAGGCAGCUCCCUAAGUUGUAACUGACGCUCAUGCACGAAAGCUAGGGGAUCAAACAG
rnacentral:rRNA from 1 species